AACGUAGGAGGCAAGCGUUAUCCGGAUUCAUUGGGCGUAAAGGGCAAGUAGGCGGUACGCAAAGUUGGUUGUGACAUCUCCCGGCUCAACUGGGAGGGUGCGGCCAAAACUAGCGAACUAGAGGGCAGAAGAGGGAAGUGGAAUUCCUGGUGUAGCGGUGGAAUGCUCAGAUACCAGGAGGAACACCAGUGGCGAAGGCGACUUUCUGGUCUGCACCUGACGCUGAGAGGCGAAAGCUAGGGGAGCGAACGGG
rnacentral:rRNA from 1 species